rnacentral:rRNA from 1 species
UACGGAGGGUGCAAGCGUUAUCCGGAUUCACUGGGUUUAAAGGGUGCGUAGGCGGGCAUGUAAGUCAGUGGUGAAAUCUCCGGGCUUAACCCGGAACUGCCGUUGAUACUAUGUGUCUUGAAUAUCGUUGAGGUUUGCGGAAUAUGUCAUGUAGCGGUGAAAUGCUUAGAUAUGACAUAGAACACCAAUUGCGAAGGCAGCAGGCUAACCGAACAUUGACGCUGAGGCACGAAAGCGUGGGGAUCAAACAGG